rnacentral:miRNA from 1 species
AUAUCCGUAACUGAAUUGUAGA